CUUGCUUUCCUACUAGUCUUUCUUUCAACUAAGUCUUCGCUUAUUAUCUGUUUUGGCCAAGGAGACCGGAAAAGAAAUCCAUUCUCAGGGAGCAUUUCCAGUGGCUAAAGAUGAGUGCUUCAACGGAUCAUCCGAAGAGGUUCUGCAGGGCUAGAGAGACUCCAAACACAAGAAUUGGGCAAACACUGAACUGGAUGUGGUUGCUGAAUUGUUUCUGUCCUUAUCUUGUUGAGAUGUUUUACAUCUUUCAUCAGAAAUUUCUCCACUGUCCUUGAGCUAGUGUUUUCCAAAUGCCAGUCGAUAGAGCAGUGCUGAUCUGUGACAACAUUUUCACUGAUCUGUAGUCAUAUCAAAGAAUAAAAAAAUAGGCUGGACAAAGUGGCUCAUGCCUGUAAUUCCAGCACUUUGGGAGGCCAAGACAUGCAGAUCACUUGAGGUCGGGAGUUCAAGACCAGCCUGACCAACAUGGAGAAACCCCAUCUCUACUAAAAAUACAAAAUUAGCCGGCCGUGGUGGCACGUGCCUGUAAUCUCAGCUACUCAGGAGGCUGAGACAGGAGAAUUGUUUGAACCCUGGAGGUGGAGGUUGCGGGGAGCCGAGAUUGCGCCAUUGCACUCCAGCCUGGGCAACAGGAGAGAAACUCCGUCUCAAAAAAAAAAUAAAAAUAAAAAAUAAAAAAUAAACAGAAAAAUAAAAAUUCAUAUUUCUCAAGUGAGGUUUUCAUAAAAUUAAACUCCUCAAUUUGAAGGGUUUUCUUUUAUUCUAAAAUUAUGUCCUUCUUCAUUCUGGUUUCUCUUCAGAUUGUAUAAACCUUUUGGUUUUUACUCAAAUUAUGUUCUCAUACAUUUUGAUGUUAAAAUAUCCUUAUUUUUAGUGGGAAGAUGGCAAAAAUGGAUGGUAGUUUUAAAAAUAUCUUUACUUGGCGCAAUAAAUACCUGGCAACCAUAUAUUG
rnacentral:lncRNA from 1 species